GCAGUGGGGAAUAUUGGACAAUGGGCGAAAGCCUGAUCCAGCCAUGUCGCAUGAGUGAAGAAGGCCUUUGGGUUGUAAAGCUCUUUUAGUGAGGAAGAUAAUGACGGUACUCACAGAAGAAGUCCUGGCUAACUCCGUGCCAGCAGCCGCGGUAAUACGGAGAGGGCUAGCGUUAUUCGGAAUUAUUGGGCGUAAAGGGCGCGUAGGCUGAUUAAUAAGUUAAAAGUGAAAUCCCGAGGCUUAACCUUGGAAUUGCUUUUAAAACUAUUAAUCUAGAGAUUGAAAGAGGAUAGAGGAAUUCCUGAUGUAGAGGUAAAAUUCGUAAAUAUUAGGAGGAACACCAGUGGCGAAGGCGUCUAUCUGGUUCAAAUCUGACGCUGAGGCGCGAAGGCGUGGGGAGCAAACAGGAUUAGAUACCCUGGUAGUCCACGCUGUAAACGAUGAAUGUUAAAUAUGGGAAGUUUACUUUCUGUAUUACAGCUAACGCGUUAAACAUUCCGCCUGGGGACUACGGUCGCAAGAUUAAAACUCAAAUA
rnacentral:rRNA from 1 species